UACAGAGGGUGCAAGCGUUAAUCGGAAUUACUGGGCGUAAAGCGCGCGUAGGUGGUUUGUUAAGUUGGAUGUGAAAUCCCCGGGCUCAACCUGGGAACUGCAUUCAAAACUGACAAGCUAGAGUAUGGUAGAGGGUGGUGGAAUUUCCUGUGUAGCGGUGAAAUGCGUAGAUAUAGGAAGGAACACCAGUGGCGAAGGCGACCACCUGGACUGAUACUGACACUGAGGUACGAAAGCGUGGGGAGCAAACAGG
rnacentral:rRNA from 1 species